rnacentral:lncRNA from 1 species
GGUCGCGAACAGGUUUAAGGACUAAAUGACAAAUCCUCCUUUGUCGAGUCUAAAUAGUCCUAAGGACUUCACCACAACAUAGGAGUUCAUUAGAAGAUGACAAUUUGUGAUGAAAAAUAUCAAAAUAAUUUUUAUUUAUUUAUGAUUUAUGUACUAAUACAACAAAGAGCACAACCGUCAGCAGGCUGACGAUUGGCUUUGGGACACUAUUCCCAACA